UCUUCAUUUCGCUCACUCUCUCACCGGUCGGAGAGGCGAGAACGUGUGUGAGAUGAAGAGA
rnacentral:pre_miRNA from 1 species